ACCUCUAAUAUAGAUUUCAUGGUACAGAGCUGAUUUGCAUGUAUAAAGAACACAACCCACUGCCCUGAGGACUUCUUCAUAGGCUGAAAACACCCUGUACAAGAGUCAGUCCAAGUCAGGACACAACAUGGACAUGAGGGCCCUGGCUCAGCUCCUCGGGCUCCUGCUGCUCUGGAUUCAAGGUGCCAGAGGUGACAUCCAGGUGACCCAGUCUCCAACAUCCCUUUCUGCAGCUUUAGGAGCCACAAUCACCAUCUCUUGCAGGGCCAGUGAGUACAUUGGCUAUGCUUUAAGCUGGUAUCAACAGAAACCAGGACAAGGCCCUAAACUGCUGAUUAAAGCUGCAGAUGAAUUAGCUUCUGGGGUCCCACCUAGGUUCAGUGGCAGUGGAUCUGGGACAGAUUUCACUCUCACCAUCAGCAGCCUGCAGCCUGAAGAUGUUGCUAUUUAUUACUGUCUACAGGGCUAUGAUAGCCCUCCCACAGUGAUACAAGCCAUGACAUAA